rnacentral:rRNA from 1 species
CAUUACCGAGUGAGGGCCCUCUGGGUCCAACCUCCCACCCGUGUUUAUCGUACCUUGUUGCUUCGGCGGGCCCGCCGCAAGGCCGCCGGGGGGCAUCUGCCCUCUGGCCCGCGCCCGCCGAAGACACCAUUGAACGCUGUCUGAAGAUUGCAGUCUGAGCAAUUAGUUAAAUAACUUAAAACUUUCAACAAUGGAUCUCUUGGUUCCGGCAUCGAUGAAGAACGCAGCGAAAUGCGAUACGUAAUGUGAAUUGCAGAAUUCAGUGAAUCAUCGAGUCUUUGAACGCACAUUGCGCCCCCUGGUAUUCCGGGGGGCAUGCCUGUCCGAGCGUCAUUGCUGCCCUCAAGCACGGCUUGUGUGUUGGGCUCCGUCCUCCUUCCGGGGGACGGGCCCGAAAGGCAGCGGCGGCACCGCGUCCGGUCCUCGAGCGUAUGGGGCUUCGUCACCCGCUCUGUAGGCCCGGCCGGCGCUUGCCGACACAUCAAUCUUUUUUCCAGGUUGACCUCGGAUCAGGUAGGGAUACCCGCUGAACUUAAGCAUAUCAAUAAGCGGAGGAAAAGAAACCAACAGGGAUUGCCCCAGUAACGGCGAGUGAAGCGGCAAGAGCUCAAAUUUGAAAGCUGGCCCCCUCGGGGUCCGCAUUGUAAUUUGCAGAGGAUGCUUCGGGAGUGGCCCCCAUCUAAGUGCUCUGGAACGGGCCGUCAUAGAGGGUGAGAAUCCCGUAUGGGAUGGGGUGUCCGCGACCAUGUGAAGCUCCUUCGACGAGUCGAGUUGUUUGGGAAUGCAGCUCUAAAUGGGUGGUAAAUUUCAUCUAAAGCUAAAUAUUGGCCGGAGACCGAUAGCGCACAAGUAGAGUGAUCGAAAGAUGAAAAGCACUUUGAAAAGAGAGUUAAAAAGCACGUGAAAUUGUUGAAAGGGAAGCGCUUGCGACCAGACUCGCCUACGGGGUUCAGCCGGUAUUCGUACCGGUGUACUUCCCCGUGGGCGGGCCAGCGUCGGUUUGGGCGGCCGGUCAAAGGCCCUCGGA